rnacentral:lncRNA from 1 species
CGGACUGCCUAGAGCUGGGUCGCAACUGAGGCGUUAUCCGCGGGCCUGGCCUGGGGAAGUGGCGGGGAGGAAGAAGAGGCGGCCGGGACGCGUGACAGGAGCAUUCGGGAAGAUUCUUACGGUGCCCUUCACGCGGUGGCUAUGGACUGAGAAAGCCGCCGCAAAUAAAACCAUCCCCCAGAGUAGUUGUGGCGGAAUAAUCUAAAUAUGGGUGUUGGAUUGAGGAAACUUGAAUAUUUUUGUAUCCUGAAGGGAGAAAUGGAUGAAGAAGAAAUGGAUGAAGAAGACCGAAGAUAAUGAUGAAGGGAUAAUUUGGAAUAGGAUUCACAGCAAGAGAGACAGAAGGGAAAGACAUUGAAGAAACAGACUAGUUAACGCAUGAAAAAAAUAGAGCAGAGGAAAACACGUCCAUGUUUUUCCACGUCUAAUGAGAACAGGUCUGAUGUGAAAGGAAUUGGAGGAGAAGGGGAAGUUUGGUGAUGCACAGUUUGCAUCCCAGAAGGCUCUUGACAACCAAAGUGUCCACAGCAGAUUCAUCCAGUCUAGAUAGACCAUGCACAGAGAAUUUCAAAGAAAAGCAGAAUAGAUUUCCAAACCUUUACCCUAAUCCAGGGAGGAGAAGACGGGACGUCAAAAUAUAGUCUUGGGUAUAGAAGCAUUGGGUUGCA